rnacentral:rRNA from 1 species
ACACAACUCUCGGCAACGGAUAUCUAGGCUCUCGCAUCGAUGAAGAACGUAGCAAACUGCGAUACUUCUUGUGAAUUGUAGAAUCCCAUGAACCAUCGAGUCUUUGAACGCAAGUUGCGCCCGAAGCUAUUAGGCCGAGGGCACAUCUGCCUGGGCAUCACGCAUCACGU